rnacentral:rRNA from 1 species
AGAGUUUGAUCCUGGCUCAGGACGAACGCUGGCGGCGCGCCUAACACAUGCAAGUCGAACGGAGUUGUGUUGAAAGCUUGCUGGAUAUACAACUUAGUGGCGGACGGGUGAGUAACACGUGAGUAACCUGCCUCUCAGAGUGGAAUAACGUUUGGAAACGAACGCUAAUACCGCAUAACGUGAGAAGAGGGCAUCCUCUUUUUACCAAAGAUUUAUCGCUGAGAGAUGGGCUCGCGGCCGAUUAGGUAGUUGGUGAGAUAACAGCCCACCAAGCCGACGAUCGGUAGCCGGACUGAGAGGUUGAUCGGCCACAUUGGGACUGAGACACGGCCCAGACUCCUACGGGAGGCAGCAGUGGGGGAUAUUGCACAAUGGGGGAAACCCUGAUGCAGCGACGCCGCGUGAGGGAAGACGGUUUUCGGAUUGUAAACCUCUGUCUUUAGGGACGAAAAAAAUGACGGUACCUAAGGAGGAAGCCACGGCUAACUACGUGCCAGCAGCCGCGGUAAUACGUAGGUGGCAAGCGUUGUCCGGAAUUACUGGGUGUAAAGGGAGCGUAGGCGGGGAGACAAGUUGAAUGUCUAAACUAUCGGCUUAACUGAUAGUCGCGUUCAAAACUAUCACUCUUGAGUGCAGUAGAGGUAGGCGGAAUUCCUAGUGUAGCGGUGAAAUGCGUAGAUAUUAGGAGGAACACCAGUGGCGAAGGCGGCCUACUGGGCUGUAACUGACGCUGAGGCUCGAAAGCGUGGGUAGCAAACAGGAUUAGAUACCCUGGUAGUCCACGCCGUAAACGAUGAUUACUAGGUGUGGGGGGACUGACCCCUUCCGUGCCGGAGUUAACACAAUAAGUAAUCCACCUGGGGAGUACGACCGCAAGGUUGAAACUCAAAGGAAUUGACGGGGGCCCGCACAAGCAGUGGAGUAUGUGGUUUAAUUCGAAGCAACGCGAAGAACCUUACCAGGUCUUGACAUCGAGCGACGAACUUAGAGAUAAGUUCUUCCUUCGGGACGCGAAGACAGGUGGUGCAUGGUUGUCGUCAGCUCGUGUCGUGAGAUGUUGGGUUAAGUCCCGCAACGAGCGCAACCCUUAUCAUUAGUUGCUACGCAAGAGCACUCUAAUGAGACUGCCGUUGAUAAAACGGAGGAAGGUGGGGAUGACGUCAAAUCAUCA